UGGUUCUGGCAUCGAUGAAGAACGCAGCGAAAUGCGAUAAGUAAUGUGAAUUGCAGAAUUCAGUGAACCAUCGAAUCUUUGAACGCACAUUGCGCCCGCCAGUAUUCUGGCGGGCAUGCCUGUUCGAGCGUCAUUUCAACCCUCAAGCCCCCGGGCUUGGCGUUGGGGAUCGGCCGCCCCCCGCGGCGACCGGCCCCGAAAUCCAGUGGCGGUCUCGCUGUUGCUUGCUCUGCGUAGUAAUACACCUCGCACCGGAACGCAGCGCGGCCACGCCGUUAAACCCCCAACUUUCUGAAUGUUGACCUCGGAUCAGGUAGGAAUACCCGCUGA
rnacentral:misc_RNA from 1 species